AGGAAGUGGGGAUGACGUCAAAUCAGCACGGCCCUUACAUCCAGGGCUACACACGUGUUACAAUGGCCGGUACAAAGGGCAGCUACUCCGCGAGGAGAAUGCGAAUCUUAAAAACCGGUCUCAGUUCGGAUCGAAGUCUGCAACCCGACUUCGUGAAGCUGGAUUCGCUAGUAAUCGUAUAUCAGCCAUGAUACGGUGAAUACGUUCCCGGGCCUU
rnacentral:rRNA from 1 species